GUGAAGGAUUUCGAAAGCGAAAAUGUCUAAGUGCUUUACAACUCGUAUCACCUCUGGUCGGAUAGUAGCCUACUUCAAUAGACGAUCAGGAUGCUCUGCUCACAAGGACCUUGGGACUCUGGCGGCAGCAGAGAAUUUGAAAAUAAAAAUGAAGUCUGGAUUUAUUCAGAUGCUGAGGAAGAGGAAAGAGCUCAUUCCUCUGAUCGGCAUUGUGGCAUUGGCUGCUGUAGGAGCCACCUCUACCUCACUCUACUUCCUAUUUACAAAGAAUGAUGUCAUUUUAAAUAAAAGCACAAACCCUGAACCCUGGGAGAGACUGGACCCAUCUAAACCACAGAAGGAAGUUGACUGAAACUGUAAUUCUAAUCAAGCAAUGAGGAAAACUGGAACUUGAACUUUACUUGACUUUGUCAAUGGACUAAAUCUAAAUGGAAUUGACCCCAACGCUGCUGGUCACUAUCAACCAGAAAUGGAGGCCCAUUGAAGAGCUGGAGCUGGUGAAGAGUAUGACCAAGUGAUCUCUCUAUCUUUCUAUUUCUCUCCAUUCUCUCCCAUUCCUCCUCCCUCCAUCCUGAAUGAGAGCUGCCUCCUUGCCCUUCCUGCACCCCUUCCCAGUCUAGCAGAAUCCUUUCUGCCCAGACUAGAUUCUCUGAUACUUAGUGUGCGGAAACACUUCUGCUAUACUGGUGGGGUAUCACUGUGCUCAGUACUGUCCUCAGGACUGAGGAUGUCCACAGCAGUAGUGUUACUUACAUCGCCAGGCUGUAAAGAGUAAAAGCUUUUGUCUUCACUGUAAACCAGCUGUCUGUCUGUCCCAGUGAUGUUACUGCACUGUACUGCACUAUAGCUGACUCUAAAUGAGACCACAGCUGUUUGUUUGUGAAACAAACUGUAUGUGUGUGUGAAAUAAUAAUUAUUGCAAUAAAAAUGUACCAUUGCUCGUGUUAUUAA